AGUUUUUUGGAAGAGAAACUCAA
rnacentral:snRNA from 1 species